ACAAAGAAAGUUGAAAGUUCCCACUAAAACUGGAAAAAGGAAUUUGACAUUUAUCAACACAAUCUCUCUCUGACUACACUCAAUUAAAGAGGAAAAAGAAAGAAAGAAAGGGGAUAAAAAAAGACACUACCAUAACUAACCCACAAACGAAACUUGCUUGGAAAAUCAAUUUGCUUCACAAACUCAGUUUAAUCUCAUCUGCUUAACUCGGUCUCGUGUAAUUGAAACAGGAUUUGUCUAAGGUUGAAUGACAAACAAAGGCAUAUCGACGCUGACGGGCUUCCCG
rnacentral:misc_RNA from 1 species